rnacentral:rRNA from 1 species
UACAGAGGUCUCGAGCGUUAAUCGGAGUCACUGGGCUUAAAGGGUGCGUAGGCGGUCCCGCAAGUGCUUUGUGAAAUCCCACGGCUCAACCGUGGAAUUGCUUGGCAGACUGCGGGGCUUGAGGUCGGUAGAGGUCGCUGGAACUCUAGGUGGAGCGGUGAAAUGCGUAGAUAUCUAGAGGAACGCCGAUGGUGAAGACAGGCGACUGGGCCGAUUCUGACGCUGAGGCACGAAAGCGUGGGGAGCAAACGGG